rnacentral:rRNA from 1 species
UACGGGAGGGGCAAGCGUUAUUCAAAAUAACUGGGCGUAAAGAGUUCGUAGACAGUGUUACAAGUUAUUUGUUAAUUUUUAAAGCUUAACUUUAAGUCAGCAAAUAAUACUAUUUCACUUGAGUUUUUUUCAGAAGAGUAGAAUUUUAUAUCAAGGGGUGAAACCUGUAGACAUAUAAAGGAAUACCAUCAAAAGCGAAGGCGACUCUUUAGUAAAAACUGACGUUGAGGAACGAAAGUAUAGGGAGCAAACAGG